rfam:Triticum aestivum genome assembly, contig: Triticum_aestivum_CS42_TGACv1_scaffold_195580_3AL
GUAAUACUCCCUCCGUUCCAAAAUACUUGACUUCCAUUUGUCCAAAAAUGGAUGUACCUAUAUACUAAAACAUGUCUAGAUACAUCUAUAUUUUGAUAAAUGGAAGGCAUGUGUUGUGGAACGGAGGGAGUAGUAG